rnacentral:ribozyme from 1 species
AAACAAAGAAGAAGAAAGAAGAAACGCACAACUCAUUCACCAUUCUUUCUUCACUCCUCUUUUCUCUUCUUUUCUU